UACGAAGGGGGCUAGCGUUGUUCGGAAUUACUGGGCGUAAAGCGCACGUAGGCGGGUCAUUAAGUCGGGGGUGAAGUCCUGGAGCUCAACUCCAGAACUGCCUCCGAAACUGAUGAUCUUGAGUUCGGGAGAGGUGAGUGGAACUGCGAGUGUAGAGGUGAAAUUCGUAGAUAUUCGCAAGAACACCAGUGGCGAAGGCGGCUCACUGGCCCGAUACUGACGCUGAGGUGCGAAAGCGUGGGGAGCAAACGGG
rnacentral:rRNA from 1 species